AAAAAGGGUAUUUGCUGUGAUUGGCAUGGUGGUGUAAGAAAGUUUUUUUGCACAAUAACAGAAUCACUAUCAAAAGGUUCUGAAUGCAAAAUUUUUGUAUUUGAAGCCUGAUAAUGAUUGAUGUUGGAACU